GAUGAACGCUGGCGGCGUGCCUAAUACAUGCAAGUCGAGCGAACAGAUGAGGAGCUUGCUCCUCUGACGUUAGCGGCGGACGGGUGAGUAACACGUGGAUAACUUACCUAUAAGACUGGGAUAACUUCGGGAAACCGGAGCAAAUACCGGAUAAUAUAUUAAACCGCAUGGUUCAAUAGUGAAAGACGGUUUUGCUGUCACUUAUAGAUGGAUCCGCGCCGCAUUAGCUAGUUGGUAAGGUAACGGCUUACCAAGGCAACGAUGCGUAGCCGACCUGAGAGGGUGAUCGGCCACACUGGAACUGAGACACGGUCCAGACUCCUACGGGAGGCAGCAGUAGGGAAUCUUCCGCAAUGGGCGAAAGCCUGACGGAGCAACGCCGCGUGAGUGAUGAAGGUCUUCGGAUCGUAAAACUCUGUUAUUAGGGAAGAACAAAUGUGUAAGUAACUAUGCACGUCUUGACGGUACCUAAUCAGAAAGCCACGGCUAACUACGUG
rnacentral:rRNA from 1 species